rnacentral:rRNA from 1 species
GACGAACGCUGGCGGCGUGCUUAACACAUGCAAGUCGAGCGGAAAGGCCACUUCGGUGGUACUCGAGCGGCGAACGGGUGAGUAACACGUGAGUAAUCUGCCCCUGGCUUUGGGAUAGCCACCGGAAACGGUGAUUAAUACCGGAUAUGACCACUUGACGCAUGUUGGGUGGUGGAAAGUUUUUCGGCCAGGGAUGUGCUCGCGGCCUAUCAGCUUGAUGGUGAGGUAAUGGCCCACCAUGGCUUCGACGGGUAGCCGGCCUGAGAGGGUGACCGGUCACACUGGGACUGAGACACGGCCCAGACUCCUACGGGAGGCAGCAGUGGGGAAUAUUGGACAAUGGGCGGAAGCCUGAUCCAGCAACGCCGCGUGAGGGAUGACGGCCUUCGGGUUGUAAACCUCUUUCAGUACCGACGAAGCGCAAGUGACGGUAGGUACAGAAGAAGCACCGGCCAACUACGUGCCAGCAGCCGCAGUAAUAC